CAAUAGCGUAUAUUAAAGUUGUUGCAGUUAAAAAGCUCGUAGUUGGAUUUCUGGUUGAAGCGACCGGUCGGGCGUUGAUUCGUCUGCACUGGAGUCGGUUUUGGCCAUCCUCUAGGAAAGUGCGUCUGGUAUUAAGUUAUCGGGCGUAUGAUCCUGGUCUUUUACUGUGAAAAAAUUAGAGUGUUUAAAGCAGGCCUUCGCCUUGAAUACAUUAGCAUGGAAUAAUAAGAUAGGACUUUGGUCUAUUUUGUUGGUCUGCAGACCGAAGUAAUGAUUAAUAGGGAUAGUUGGGGGUAUUUAUAUUCCGAUGUCAGAGGUGAAAUUCUUAGAUUUUCGGAAGAUAAACUUAUGCGAAAGCAUUUACCAAGGAUGUUUUCAUUAA
rnacentral:rRNA from 1 species